rnacentral:lncRNA from 1 species
GCUAACUCCUGCGCAUGGUGCCUAUCAGCCAACUAAAAACCUCACACCCUACUUCCUAAAUCCAGUAAAUACCACACAACUGCAAAACAUUCAAGAACCUGAAUUAACAUGAAAACAUCACCUUUAGUCUAUAGCUCUCGAAACUCACACCUGAACAAACAACAUAUGCAAUCCUUGAAGAUAAUUUUAGGUUUAAGAUGUCUACACCUAACAUCUUAAACCUAAAAUUACUGCAAGCACAAGUUGCUUGCGCUCCCAGACAACUACAACACAAAGAAAAAUGGGUAAUACAUAAUAGAACACAUAAAUCACAAUCUGCGUAACGACAAAUAUAAUAGAAAACAUUAUAUAGAACAAAAAUGAGAUGACAAAAUCAGUAAUAACCGAACCUCAUCACCGCCGAAGAUACAUUCAUCAACUAUAAUAAUAAAUUGAUAAACCUUGAACACUUGUCUUGGCCCCUCACCAUCUCAAACUCUCACUUUGUAAUCAAAUAAAUAGUAUAUUUACGCUUGUCUCUGAUUGAUUUCAAGUAGCAGUGAAAUCAAGUUGCGUCUCUUUGAUCGUCCCGGCUCUGAGCUGAUUAUUUUCCUCAUCAGUGAUCUAUUCGGGGCGUUACGAGUAAUAAUAUAAAGCAUGGCACUUCUGUAAUAAUGUUAUAGCUAGGAGGAAACCGGAAAUUUCACUCAUAUUUUCUGAGCUCUUUUUGGCCUUCGUUAGCAUAUUAUAUAUAAAAGUAGAUGCUUCAUCUAUACGUGUAGUAAUUGAAUACUUACACCUGGAAAACAUGCAAGUUUAGCAUACAAACCUUGUUGGCUAGUACGUCUAGCAUUUUGCCUCUGCUUGGAUAGCUUUCUCCUUUCCACAACAGCUUCGGUGAUGGUCAGCUUCGGCCGUCCCAAUUCUCUAGUAGCCUGGGCAAUGAAGUUUAAAGUGCCAUUCUUGCAGGCACCUUGUAAUGGAAGAGGUCCUCCUACAGAUUAAAAUCAAGCCUUUCUUCAUUAAAUUACUCAGCGAUAUCUAGACUAAGAGCAUAACAAAUCAACAUAGAAGGACACAACUCUCAGCAAAGCAGCAGCAACAAUCUGGCUAUAAAUCAGUCUAUAUCAUAAAUACAUAUAAGCAACAACUUUGCAAAGAAAAUCACUUUAGGGUCUCAAACCCAAGUUUCAAUGCACCUGACAUUUAACAAUAACAUCGACAUAGUUUUUUUUGGUUGCAACCAGUAACCCACUUGUAAAAAUAGCACUUAUUAUCAUAUGUAGAUGAUAAAGGAACUACAUUCUUCAACAUAGAUUCCCGGUCCUGACCCACACUGUAAUGACAUUUUUUCCUCAGACGCUAGAAGGUAAGGUAAUGGCAAGGCCAACUAAAAAACUCGAUUUAUUAGAUUGAUUAGUAAAUAUCUAUAUGGGGUUGUGAUUUGAACUUUGUUGUUGACGAUAUUUCAUAUUUGCCCAAAUAUCUUCCAAGUCUUGAUAUAAACUGUCAGUGAAAUACCUUGAAAACUUUAUACAAAACAAUUGACAACUAAAUUACCAAUGACUCAUAUUUACUAAUAGCAGAUUAUUUUCCAGCAUGUAACAAUUUUUUUUAUAAAGGAGCACUUUAUUUUAGUUUUUGCAAUCCAUAUAGGCUUAUGAAACACAACAAAUGGAGGGAAAUUCAUCUUCCCUGGGCUCCUCCCCUAAUAUAUGGGUUUAAAAACCAUUUGCAGAUUGACAACCUCUACUAUAAUACCAGCAGAAGACACUUUCAAAACCAAACUAAACCCGAUGAUCACUCACAUCAAGAACCACAGAUAUCUGGACAAUAACUUAAGGCUGAACACCAAAAACACCUAUGACCAAAUUCAAUAAACUACAGCGGUACAAGUGUGUGUAAUAUCUGGACAAUAACCUAAGGCUGAACACCACAUUGAACAAUAACCCACUUGUAAAAAAGUUACUUAUCAUCAUAUGUAGAUGAUAAAGAAACUGCAUUCCUCAACAUAAUUUCUCGGUCCUGGCCUACACUGUAAUGACCCUUUUUUCUGAGACGCUAAAUAUGCUGAAUGAGGAUGAGAGGACAAAUAUCCUCUUUAGUUGGUAACUCAGAAUUGUUUGAACCUGCGCCACAGUCAGACUUCAUAAGGUAAAACUUAACAAAAAAAUUCACCAUUAUUAAAAACCGACAAAGAAUUGAAAUGUGAAGGGAACAAUGUCGUACAAGAAAAGCCUAAGACAAUACAACAGCCUGCAGACUUUAAAUUAUUGCAGCACCGAGUGAGGAAACAACACAAAAUGUUACUACAAAACAAUGUAUCAAAAUUGCAAGUAAUUUUUGUAGUCUAUAAUUAUCGAGAAAUCUGAAUGAUUCAAAUUCUAUUAGGUAGGCAUUAGAUGUACUGGUUCAUUCAAUCUUUAAGUGGUGCCGAUAAAUUUGACAGGGCUUGAGCAACACUUCCCGAACCACUCGAGGAAGCCAUUUCUACAUACAACCUGAAGCACUGUUAAUUGGACCACCCACUAACCGACACAGGCCACAAUGAAGCACAAAAAUCCUAAAGUAAAUCGUAAUCAUCUCCCCUCACACACACGCACACCCUAAUCCGGAUUUCCAACAAAUCCCUUGAACUAAGAAUGAACAACCUCCCCCGAACAACACUCUCAGAAUUUUCAUUUAUUACAACUUGGAAAGUAACUUUUUAAGUUCACUUGACUGUUUGUCUAUUUUUAAAAAUGCACACACCAUGCUAUGUUGUCCUUGAUGUUCAUCUUAAUAUUAAGUGUAAUUAUUAUGUUGUUGCGGUUUGUCUUCCUGAUCCUGUUUGGAAGAAAAUAGCAACUUGUAUAAUUUCUCAAACACCUAGUAGAAUGACAGAACUUUUUCAAGAAAUUCUCACCUGGGGAGCCAAAACGACCCAAUGGAUCAAAACCCUAAAUACAUAAACAAGGGGAAAUAAUCAACAAAAAGGUAAAGAUUUUAACUUUAAUUCAAGAAAAAUAAUAAAGCUACAAGAACUCAAAUACCGAGCUGAAAUCAAAUUUUAAAAAUGAGAAAAUUAUCAAGAUUACACUAUUUUUUGGAUAAAUUAUGACAUGGCCAGCUAAAUUACACAUACAUACACAAAAACAAGCAGAAGUAGAAGUGUUGGUUGUCAAAGUUUUCACCUGCACAUAGAGCUGUGCAGAAUUACCGCAAAAAAAAUCAAUUACAAAAGCCACAGCCAACACCCCCUGACUUACCAACAACAGCCAAGAAACUCGAUUUAUUAGAUCGAAUCAAAACCAUACUAAACCCAAUCAUCACUCGUGUUAAACAUCACACUUAUCUGGACAAUAAUUUAAGGCACAACACUAUAAAUACCUAGACCAAACUGCAGGAGUACAAGUGCGUGCAAUACUCGCUGAAGCCAGAAAUCAAGAAAAGGUGUAAUCUUACGAAC